UACGGAGGAUCCAAGCGUUAUCCGGAUUUAUUGGGUUUAAAGGGUGCGUAGGUGGCCUGUUAAGUCAGGGGUGAAAGACGGUAGCUCAACUAUCGCAGUGCCUUUGAUACUGAUGGGCUUGAAUACACUUGAGGUAGGCGGAAUGUGACGAGUAGCGGUGAAAUGCAUAGAUAUGUCACAGAACACCAAUUGCGAAGGCAGCUUCCUGGACUGUGAUUGACGCUGAGGCGCGAAAGCGUGGGGAUCAAACAGG
rnacentral:rRNA from 1 species